GGGGGCGGGCCGAAGCCAAGUGACGGGCUCCCGCCCCAACCCGGGAGGCCCCGGCCGCGUGCGAGGAAACCUGUUGAACGAGUCUGGCUCGGGGAAGGAAGCUCAUUGGCCGUGCAGGUGAAACAGUGGCCUAACUAGGCUCCGUAGACUUAGCCUCCUGGCUAGAGAUUCUUUCAUUCACGGAACUCAUCACGUUUGGAAGGCAGCCAUGCUCAUCUCUACCACCAAAGCACGCUGAACUCAUCCCAUUUGGAUAGACCUCUUGGUGUUUGGUUUGAGAAAACAACCAUUGGCACAAAGUUGAUGAACUUCCACGCAUGCACACAGGUAAACAGAUCAGCUCCUUCUGAGUCAGGAAGAUAUUUUCAUGUUGGCUCAUCAUGAUUCUUCUCCCGGUCCUCCUCACCUGACAGAAGAUGAUUAUCUGCAGAUGAGAGGAAGGAAAUUCUUCUUUCCCCAAUUUUCUCUGUUAACGACACUGUGGGUAUCAUUUUCAAGAUGGCAUCCUCAUUCAUGUGGCUGGUGCUUGGGGAGACUUGCUCUGUUUUUCUCGCCACAUGGUGUCUUAUCCUCCAGGGUUUUUCAUAGUGUGGUGGCCUAAAGGAAGCAAGUUCAUCAGCUGAGAGAGAGGAAGAGGGAAGAGCGUUUCAAAAUUUGAGUACAGGGGAGACUGCAUGGAAUCAUCUAGUGGAUGUUCAGGAAGCCCUAAGGUGUGGCAUUUGACUCAAGGCUGGAAGUGGAAAGGUGGCUUCGAAUGGAUAGCUCAGUAUAUGUGGUGGGGAACCACAUAGGCCCAGUAUCCAGCAUCUACCCUGGGAAACCUGCCAAAGGCAGCAGUGACUGGAGAUGCCCUUGCUUGUCUCUUGAAGAGUCCAAUCAGCCUCAGAGACCUCUCCAAGGUGGUGUUUAGUCUUCACGUCCUGGAUGACUAAGCCAAGAGAGUCAGUGAAAAAAGCUCUAGUCUCCAGAGUUGGCAAAAAAAGGGAUGCUGGGGCCAUGCUCUGAGAUAACCUCCCUCAUGAUGCAACACACCCUCUUCAGAGCUGUCACCCAUUCACCAGAUCCUGGGAUUGAUUCUCAGUACGGUCUGCUGCAGAUACAAAGGUACUUCUCUUCUGGAGUGUUCCAUUGACUAUAGGAUGGCAAUCUUUCCAAACUCUUCUGUACUUUAUUAUGAUUCUGCUUUGUGGCUAUCUCACGACCAAGAAGAAAGAGCCUUCCCAAGUCAGGGGGGUAUGGACUCACGACUUGAGUUUUCCUGGUAAGGCUUUAUACCAUUGGAAGAAAUGAACAGUUAAGGAUGUUUGAACUUACACUAUGAAAUAAUCCAUCUACAGAGAUGAAGAGAACACAUGUGAGUGCAUGCCCAACGGGCAAGGGGCAACAGAGGGAGAGGGAGAAAGAGAAACUUAAGUAGGCUCCAGGCCCAGCAUGGAGCCCCACAUGGGGCUCCAUUUCACGACCCUGAGAUCAUGACCUGAGCUGAAAUCAAGAGUUGGAUGCUUAACUGACCGAGCCAUCCAGGCACCCUGUUAUUUUCUCAGUUCUUCUAUAUUAGUGUUGAUUUUCUGUUUACUAAUUGUGUUCAGUACUAAGGAGUUUUGAGGUCUCUGAAUAUGUUUGUGGAUUUAGCUAUUUCUCUUUUCAGUUCUGUCAGAAUUUGCUUUAUGUAUUUGGGAACCGUUGUUAAAUGUACCAACAUUCUUUACUGAGAAACAGCAUUUGCGUUUCAACAGUUCAAAAAGGAGGCUAAUAACUAAGGGAUUUAUAUUUUAAUGCAGUACAUUAUAUUACAUAUAAGAUUUACUGAAGAUGAAAAGCUUAUAAGUUUUGGAAAUACAGUUAUAGAAAUAACCUAAUUAUAUAAUCUGUGAAACAAUCCAAAUCUGAGCAAAGUCUGAUCUCUUCUUCUUAUGUCAUAAUGAGGAUUCGUAUAAGAUCUAUCAAGAGUUACAAAGAAACAGCCUUAACUAACUUUGCCACCUGGAGAAGAUAAUUACAGUUUAAGAAAUGAUUCUUUGCAAACUAGAUUGUAAAUGAGAAUGUCAUGAACUCAGCACUAAGUAGCUUGCUUUUCAAGUCUAUUAGAAAAGAUGACUUUUUUCCAUUAAAAAAAAUAAAUAUAAGGAACUUGGAAGUCAUCACUUCAUCCUAGUAAUAUGUAAAAACCUGAACAGAAUGAAAAAUCAGCAAUUCUUUUCGGCUCCAUAAGAGAUGGGAGGAUACAGGGCAAACAGCUGCCUUGAAGAUGGGAGACAAGCGAAUACAGGGACUGAUGGCUUACUAGAGCAGAGAUUCAUGAGUAGGAACCAGUGCCAGUGUAGGAAAAAUGGAACUGUGUUUGGUGAAUUGCUGGAGGCUCAGUGCAUAGUUUUUAACUGUGAGAGUUAAAAACUGAAGGGGGAUGCAGUCACGGGAGGCACUGUUAGUAUUCUAAGAUGAACCUCUGGGAACAGUCCUUAAUGUGUAUAUGCCCAACACCAUAGUAUCAAAGCACAUGAAGUAAAAAGUAAUACAAAGGCAAGGAGAAGUAGAUGUAUUCACUGUAAGAGUUGGAGGCUUCAACAGUAUCAGAAGUGGACAGAUCUAGCAGGCAGAAUAUCAAUAAGGAUGUCGCUGAACUCAGUGAUGGUGUUCAGUCAUGAUGGUAAUCAAUCUUGUGGAUAUGAUUGACAUCUAUAGAACUACUUCGUCCAACAAUGACAGAAUACAUAUGCUUCUCAAGCUCACAUGGAACAUUUACCAAAAUGGACCACAUCCUGGGCCAUAAAACACACCUUAACACAUUUAAAAGACCACCAUAGGAUUAAAUAGAAAUCAAUAAUAGAUAACUGGGAAAAUCUCCAAAUACAUGUAGAUGAAACAACAUGCCUCCAAAUAACAGAUGGGCCAAAGAAAAAAUCUUAAGAGAAAUUAAAAAAAAAUAUAUAUAUUUUUUAAAGAUUUUAUUUAUUUAUUUGAGAGAGAGAGAAUGAGAGACAGCAUGAGAGGGAGGAGGGUCAGAGGGAGAAGCAGACUCCCUGCUGAGCAGGGAGCCCGAUGCGGGACUCUAUCCCAGGACUCCAGGAUCAUGACCAGAGCCGAAGGCAGUCGCUUAACCAACUGAGCUACCCAGGCGCCCUAAAAAUAUUUUUAAUUGAAUGAAAAUACAUCUUAUUCAAAUUAGUGGGAUACAGUGAAAGCAGUGUGUGGAAGAAAAUGUAUUGUGCUGAAUGCAUACAUUAGAAAAGAGGAAGGAUUUAAAAUCUAAGUUUCCAUCUUAGGUAACUGGAAAAAGGAGAGCAAAUUAAAUUCAAAGUAAGCAGAAGAAAAGAAACAACAACUGCAAAUAAUAAUUGCAAAUAACUGAAAACAGUUUGAAUACCCUACCAGGUCAUAAGGAAAAUGGCAAACUUUUACUUGCUCUUAUCUUUGCAAAAUAAGAUAUAUUUAAAUAUUUUAUGUAGUUGCAAUUUGUAUUCUUUAAAAAAGUUAAAUGUUUGUAGAUAUUUGCCUUUAUGCUUAAUUUGCCUGAGCUUGGAAAAGUCGAAGUAAAAUAAACUUAAAUCUGACUAGCAGCUUUUGUUUUUAUUUUCAUUAUGCUGUAUACUAGUUUUUUACAUGAAAUUUAACUUACCAAGAAAUUGUAUUUACACUGUACAAAUGUCCAAAAUUAAUAAAGUUUUAUCUGCAAAUUAUUAAAUAGAAAGUAUACAUUUUUAAUGCUCUAGAUUUUAAUUCCUUCUGUAUAUUAGGACUAAUUUAUGUUGUGGAUUUAGAGUUUGGGAAUCUCUCUUUUACUUAAGAUGUGGACGUGGAGGUGAAUAAGACAUUUUUCCAUUAAUAUUGUGUUUGUAAAAAAAUUUUCCUAUUUUUAAAAAUGUGAUGGCAGAGCAUAAAUGCUUUAUUCAACAUUCUGCAUUGAUUAUAAAUAAAAUUAUCAUAUCUAAUAUAUCACAACCUUAUACAUCUUUGAAGGUUCAGCACAAAUUAUUUUCCUAUGAAGUUUUUCUCAUCUGCUAUUGUUAUGGGUAUCAGUUAAAGCACAUAAAAAACAUGCACACAGAGAGCUGCCCAUUGGAAUCAGCCUGGGAGAUACUUCCUCAUGGAAAUCCUUGGGCCCCUUCCGGAUCUACUGAAUCAACAUCUCUGGAGUACUGCAAUGUUGAAAACCUACUGAAGCUAUUCUGAAGCUCUCUGGUUAGGAGUCCCUCAUUUCCAGAAGCCCCUGACAUGGCACAUUUCACUGUCUUGGGUUUCACUUUGAGAGUCCCUACCAGGGCUUCUAAGAGGUUGGCACAUUUGUCAUCUUGGAAGAGGACUUCAGAUUUCGCACUUUCCAUCAGCAUCUAAUUUGAGAAAAUACAAUGUUAGCCAAUGCAAAGUCUGUUUCUUGUCCUCAUAUAUGGCAGAUUUACAUGAACUUUAAAAAACAUCAAGCUAUAGGUUAUCCAGGAUUACAAUUUAACAGUUCACGCUCAUAAAUUCAUUGUAAUCUC